rnacentral:rRNA from 1 species
CCUACGGGAGGCAGCAGUAGGGAAUAUUGCGCAAUGGAUGAAACUCUGACGCAGCGACGCCGCGUGGGUGAUGAAGGCCUUCGGGUUGUAAAGCCCUGUCGGAAGGGAAGAAAAACAAUAUGGCUAAUAUCCAUAAUGCUUGACGGUACCUUUAAAGGAAGCACCGGCUAACUACGUGCCAGCAGCCGCGGUAAUACGUAGGGUGCUAGCGUUGUUCGGAAUCAUUGGGCGUAAAGGGCGCGUAGGCGGAAUUGUAAGUCAGAGGUGAAAACCAUAGGCUUAACUUAUGGCCUGCCUUUGAAACUGCAAUUCUUGAGUGCGGUAGAGGGAAGCGGAAUUCCUGGUGUAGCGGUGAAAUGCGUAGAUAUCAGGAAGAACACCGGUAGCGAAGGCGGCUUCCUGGGCCGUAACUGACGCUGAGGCGCGAAAGUGUGGGGAGCAAACAGGAUUAGAUACCCUGGUAGUCCACACUGUAAACGGUGGGCACUAGGUGUAGGGCUCGUAAGGGUUCUGUGCCGAAGGGAAACCAUUAAGUGCCCCGCCUGGGGAGUACGGCCGCAAGGUUGAAACUUAAAGGAAUUGACGG